CUACGGCGGAAUCAAGCUAUUUCAGGAAAUGGGCCGGCUUCAUGAUGAAAUGAAUAUCUGCCGAAGAUUCGAAGAUGGCUUUAAGGUCCUAGUACCCACAGUGCUUAGAUUGACUCAAAGGAAAUCUCCCCUUGCAGAUCUGGCUUUGGAGGAAAGAGAGGCUGCCCUCACCGAAGAUGUCCCUGGGAUUGAUUUCAGAGCUGCAAUCCUGCUGUUGCCGAUCCUGUUCAGGGAGAAAAAUGACAUUCUCGUCAUA